rnacentral:rRNA from 1 species
UACAGAGGUCCCGAGCGUUGUUCGGAUUCACUGGGCGUAAAGGGCGCCUAGGCGGUUUUUUAAGUCCGCUGUGAAAGACCGAGGCUCAACCUCGGGAUGUCAGCGGAGACUGGAAGACUGGAGUGUCGGAGAGGAGUGCGGAAUUCCUGGUGUAGCGGUGGAAUGCGUAGAUAUCAGGAGGAACACCGAUGGCGAAGGCAGCACUCUGGCCGAAGACUGACGCUGAAGCGCGAAAGCUGGGGGAGCGAACGGG